GUCUCAGAGGCGGAGGACGUCGAGACAUGGCGCAAUGCCAAGGACCUCCGGGCCCGCGUCUUCACGAACGUGGAGGCAGAGGAGCAACACUUGACCCACUUCUUCAAUCGUGUGGUAAUGUUGGCACGUGGGAACGGUGAUACCCACAAGAGUGAUUAAUUAGGAAGGAACACUUCUCGCAUCUGUGCAUUCAUUGUGCUACCACUCUUUGUUGGGUCAAUAAGUUGGUCAAUAUGAAUUGAAAGGCAUAAUAAAAAAGGGUCCAAAUUGAAUCCACUUAUCAAUAGAUGCUUAUGGAAUUCCAAUAAUUGCAAUAUGUUCAUGG
rnacentral:lncRNA from 1 species